AUUGAAGGAAACCCGUCUGUCCUUGCUUAAGUAACCAGACAAGUGCUACGCAUGUGCAUGGCCCAGCACUUCCACCUUACUCCCUAUCAUGGCAGGAGGAUUGGAAUAAUUCUUCUGUUUGCACCAGAUCAAGCAGGACAUUGGUAGCUGCAGACCUUUUACUGCCACUGCUGCAGUUUCUGGGUUCCCAGCAGCUGACAACUUUAACCUAUGGAAAAAAAAAUGGAACACCUCUGGAAGUUUCAGUUCAAAAUUUAGCCAGCAUCAAAUCUGGCAUAAUCUGUUUUCA